rnacentral:lncRNA from 1 species
GACUACUCUAUGGCUCCACAAUAAUCUUUCCUGUUGCAUGUCCAUCAAUGCUCCUGCUCCAAGCAUCUUCAGCCUUGCUUAGGGGAUGUUUGGAGUCGAUCACUGUUUUAAGUUUCCCUUCCUUCACAAGACUAACAACAAAGUCCAGGUCCUCCUUCUUGGGAAUUAAAAGCAAUGGCACCAACUGCUUCUUUGAGAAGGUUAGUUUCUUUACUGCAUAGGUCCACAUGGCACUAGGUCCAGGAGUCAGGUCGAUGACCUUCCCUUUCGCACUUAAAUUAGGCUCAAAGGUAGACCAUGGAAUGCCUGUAGUACAGUGAAUUACUGCAUCAUAUUUUUGGCCUGAUGGACUCUUAAGAGCUGCUCCCUC